GGUUAGCGCACUUAUUGUUUGACUUUAUUUAUGGAGCGACAUUAGGGGCACCGAACUGUCUGUAGAAGCCAUGCGUGGGAUUUGCAAUUGCCUCGGCCUGCUCAAAAAUAACAAUUGAAUUUGCAUCGAAUAUCUUUCAAUUCCGAGGACGACGACGAAUGGAGAAAACGACCCCUGGACCGCUGCAACAGGCCUAAUUGAGAUUCCAAGGACUCUCGAUGUAACCGCACGACCUGUACCGAGCGUACUCCUGAAUACGUAAUGUGAUGAGACAGUACCAGUAUCAGGACCAGGACCAGGACCAGACAAAGCACACACAAUGCCUCGUCCUGGAAAUGUGAAGCCAGCCAUGUAAAUAUGUUUCGAAAAUAUGUAUGAGUGCUGCCCCAGCUUCCGGCGUCUCGUUGAUAAGCUAAGGAAUUUGAGGAGCCUUGACAUACUGGCCACCCCGACUCCGA